GGUGGCUCAGUGGUAGAGUGCUUGCCUCGCAUGCAUGAGGUGCUAGGUUCAAUUCCUUGGCACCA
rnacentral:tRNA from 1 species